UGUAUGAUUAGUUUUAUAAGUCUAGCCUGCCCACUGAAUUUAUUUAAAGGGCCGCGGUAUUUUGACCGUGCGAAGGUAGCAUAAUCAAUAGUCUCUUAAUUGGGGGCUGGAAUGAAUGGUUGGACAAAGAGUUGACUGUCUCUUUAGCGUUUCUUGAAGUUUACUUUUAAGUGAAAAGGCUUAAAUUUGUUUGGGGGACGAUAAGACCCUAUAAAACUUUUACGGUUUGGUCUGUGCUUCUUGAAAUAAAGUUUAAUAUUGGUUAUAAGCUGUCCGUUGUGUUGGGGUGACAAAGAUAUAAAUUAAUAACUGUCGGUUAAAAGUAAUAAUAAUAAUUAGAUUAAUUGAUCCUUUAUUAGAGAUUAUAAGAUUAAGUUACUUUAGGGAUAACAGCGUAAUUUUCUCUGAGAGUUCUUAUCGACGAGAGUAGUUGCGACCUCGAUGUUGAAUUAAGGUUCCUUUUAAAUGUAGCAGUUUAAUUAGUGGGUCUGUUCGACCUUUAAAACCUU
rnacentral:rRNA from 1 species